UGCACUGUGGGUCCCUCCCCACACACGACCUCUGUCCCACCUGGCUGUCCUGGAGUCUGCUCACCUUGGGGAGAAGGGGUCCUGGCCCUGCCUGGGUGCACAGCUCAACCCUGGGGAGGGGAGCAAAGAGAUGCCAGCAGGUGCUGCAGAGGAGGAAGCACCCCUGGAGCUCUUCCCCUUCACACCCUCCCCUGUGCUCUGCAGACAAGGGGGGAGGAUGUAGUUCCCACAGAAAGAGGCUCUGUCCUUACAUGGACCUUUCUCCUGCUACGGGCGCACACCGCGCCAGUGACUGCUGCUUCUCCUACGCCACACGAAAUAUCCGAUGCGUAUUCAUGCAGAAAUAUUAUAAAACGAGCAAUGAGUGCUCCCAGCCUGCUGUCAUCUUCAAAACCAGGCGUGGGCGGGAGGUCUGUUUCCACCCCGGUGCUCACGGAGUCCAGGAAUGCAUGGUGAAGCUGGAUUCAACCAAAAGCUGGAAAACGGUUGGUUGAGGAGAAGCUACGGUAGAUGCCACAUACCCGCCUCCACUCUCUCACCUUCUGGGAAUUCCUUGGCCUGAAUUCUUUUGUCAAAAGCAACAAUUACUGUUCUGUUUGUAAAAUCUGUGCACCAAUAAAAAGUAUCUAAUUCAA